UACGGAGGGAGCUAGCGUUGUUCGGAAUUACUGGGCGUAAAGCGCACGUAGGCGGCUUUGUAAGUUAGAGGUGAAAGCCCGGAGCUCAACUCCGGAACUGCCUUUAAGACUGCAUCGCUUGAAUCCAGGAGAGGUGAGUGGAAUUCCGAGUGUAGAGGUGAAAUUCGUAGAUAUUCGCAAGAACACCAGUGGCGAAGGCGGCUCACUGGCCCGGUACUGACGCUGAGGAGCGAAAGCGUGGGGAGCGAACAGG
rnacentral:rRNA from 1 species